CACAAGCUCACUGCUUUGUGGCAUGUUGCUUUUGACAAGCUGAUACCUGCACCAGGGCAUGAAGCCAUCUCUUGCAAGUGUUAGAAUAUUAGUUGGCUCUUGGCUGAAGAAACAGAAAACAAACAAACAUCUGGUGCAAAUGGCAGUUCCUUCCAUGUUCCAGCCUCCUUAAAUGAGUCUAGAAAUGGAGCUGUUGAUUACAGGUGUUUUCAAGACAGUGGUGGAAUUUGCUGAAGCCUCUGGACAACGAAAGCUGGUGAAAAACUUUGAUGUCAUUGAUUUAGCAAGACAGCUCUUUUAGAACAAAGAAUGAUUUUCAAGGCCAAAACCUUCUCACAAGCGGGGACUGAGUGAUGCAGGGUUUUGAAUUCCUACCCACAUGCUGAUAUGGAAUGAUCUACCUAGCUACCAUACUAUAGGCAAGGCUCAUUCAUAUAAAAGCAUAUGUAGUGCUCUACCCCUGUGCUUUUGCAAGAAUUGAUCCUUUAUCUAAAGACAAUCCUUGAUUUCAUGGGUCUCAUUUGAAUAAAAGCAAUAAAAAACCCA